AUAAUCUUACACAUUGAGAUUAAUGGAAGGAAGAGAUAUAAAUUAGUUUCCUUUAACAACAAAUGUCACACUUCUAAUGUUAAUAAUAAUGACAAUGACUCCAGACAUCUCCUGCUAACAAAAAGUACCUGGAAAUGAAACUCCAGAAGCUAACAAAAACCUCGGACUAUAAGUCCCAUCAUGGUAGCCACCUCACUUGAUACUAAAAUACGAAGACUGUGAUUGCAUCAACUUAUUGUUUAACGCGAGUGGAUGCCUAAAAGUUUGGCACUUCAAUGUAGAUGACCUAUCAACUGGAAAUAUAGGCUCAUUAAUAGCAGCAGUAACUUUGUUGAUCUUCUUAUCCGGUGACGAUGAAUUUUUUGAAAUUCAUGUCCUUUUUGGGUUCACUUUAUCCCUGAGACUGCAAUUACUGAGGGGUAACAUUUUCUGUUUCAUCCGCCCCUUCUUUUUGUCAACGUUACAUAUAUCAUUUGGUGAUUCCCCG
rnacentral:misc_RNA from 1 species